UCGCGUGUAUUGCGUAGGGUGAGGAGAGCGCGUGAUCGAGCGGAGUGAGGCCAGUGAUUUGGGCCGAUCGAGAAAGAAGUCCAUUGAUGAUAAUUCGGCGGUCGGUUCUCGCGUUUGAUGUGUUCACGGUCGAGGGAAAAAGAGCGCUACGAUGGAGCGGGCAACGGCGUAGGGCUCGUGUUUUGUGCAGCAGCUUGUGAAGAGGGACCUCGCUUCGGGGUGUUUGGGGUUGCAGCUCGAAGUUUCCGAGAAGCUGAGAUCCAUUAAUCGCAGUUGACUUUUUCAUGCGCGAAGCGCGCGCGGAGUUUGCGUUUAUUUGGCAGCGGCUCGAAUUUCGUGUCACAAAUGGGGCCAUUGAUAGAAACGCCGCCGCCGUCGCCGCUACGGAAACGGGCACGUUGUUAAAGGAAUUGCUAACACAUGCGCCCUCUACGAUGGCUCUUGCUUUAGUAUCGUAGAUGAAAAUAAAAUAAGUGGCGUGUAAACUUCAUCUCGACGAGCGUUGAAGACCCGCCUCGUUCCAAGCACCGAGCACACGUUUUUUCAAAAGUUCCUGAAAGUCGGCAGAAAGUGGGGCAACGUUAGUCUCGAUGCGAUACAAACCUGAUUGUACAAAAAUGCUGACAUUUAUCGACCGAAUAUAAAAAAAAAACGUUUCGAUACCUCCGCGGUAUCUCGCUGGAGAAAAAUGUCACCGAAUCACCAAAAAAACAAGCAGGAAUUCGAAUGUGUUUUUGAGCCGAUUGAAAUCUCAUUGAAACACGAGGAAAGUGAGGGCGAUCGUGUCCGGCUACCGAAUCAACGGUUGCCUGUCCAGAGGCCUCGCUCGACCUUUCGUGGGAAAAUUUCUACAAGUUUGACUCCGACGAAGAUCCAUCGAAUCGCAGCAAUCACUUCAGUCGUCCGUUCGGACCCGCGAGCGCACGGAAUAAAAAUCACUUGGGCGAAUGAAAAAACGACACUGGCCAAAAGUGCAAAGUCGCGGUCGGACCAAUGAAAUAAUGAUACUCGCAUAUUGAAUCAAUAAAAGGAGUCGAGUGGUCAGCCUCCGCACGGGCCUCGCAUCUACGAGAACUACCGAGGCAAUCGUGCUCUCUCCGACAUUAGCAUAUUACGAAUGCAAAUCUUCCAACGUCUAUUUAUACAUUAAUGUACAUAACGAGAGCCGUGAGCUCUCGGUGAAGGUGUACUCAUUUGCAUAGCCCGAUCUCGUCGCCCCCUCGACCCGGACGCCUCCACUCUCUUGACGUUUUUGUCGCCACGAGAUAUAAUACACCGUUUGACGUCGACGUCAUCACCAGUACUUGCUCUCCUCGAUUCCACGUUAUUUAUACGCUGCAAGGAUUCGCGGUUCGAUCCUUUACACGAAUCCUCUUGCUCCUCCUCGAGCUUAAAACACUUUGGAGCGAGUUUUUGCAACGAUCGAUUGUCCAGAGUUUUACGGUCACCGAGUUUCUUAAUGAUCACCAAGUUUUUUCAAUUCGAUGCAAAAAAUGCUCGUGCGAAUUGACUUUUUCCAGAGCAGCAGUAUGAGAUAUGAGACAAUGAAAGUCGAAAUGAGAAAACACUAAUCGAAGUGUCCAUUUCGUUAACCUCGAUUUUAACGCUUUCUAGAUAUUUCUCCGAUUCUAAUUCGUUGACGUCAGUGCAUGGAUCUCGGCCUCGGGCACUUUGAAACUAAUAGCAACGGAUCUGGACGAAAAACAUAAACCGAAAAGUUCUCUAAAUUCCUGCAAUUUUUGUCAAUCAUCGAGUAAAUUUUAUUUCUUUCAGUAUUCAAGUAAUUUCGAUUAAUUUUGAAAGCUUUCAUUACAAUUAUGUUAGAAAAUAGUCAGAAUUUUCGGGAAAAUACGAACGUAAAGUUUCUUUAACUUUUCGGGAGGUCGGAAGCCCGCAUUCGAUUGAAAAAAAUGCUUCGAAGAUAGUAAACGAUAGAAAAUUUCGUUCUAUAACAUUUUAAGGGUUUGCCUCCAAAAUAUGAGUGAAACCUGAACAAAAAAUGCACGGAUCCAAAGUCUAUACGAACGAGCGAAUCAAUCGACGUAAAAUACUUUGGAACUGGCAGUGCUUAAGUGCUUCAACUGAAGCACAACUUCCUAGAGGCAUGGACAGUCCUCUACGAGUACAAUUAGCGUAAUUAGGCCACGUUCUCGGUGCAACAAAGGGUGACUUGUGCGUCUUUCAGUGAGCCGUGGGCACAGGCUCGGAAUGAUUUUAUUUAACGUUAACAAAUCAGUGAUUACGUGUGGUUAGAUAAGUACGUAGAUUUUUAAAUGGGAUUUAAACUGGGAAUAGAAUUGACGAGGGAGAUUCGAGUCGAGUUUGAGAGCUUUUGAUUCGAUCGAGAAUUCUCAUGGUCCAUUUUGCAGUCGGUGCCACGACUAAUUUUGUUUUAAUUUUCAGACAGAUGGCUCUCGGAGAUGAAUCGAAAAAUAUGGAGAAAAACGAAGCUGAUGGGCACCGGGAAUUGCGAGUGGAAGCAAUCCCGCAAAUUGAUUGAUCGGAAAAAAUGACUACGAUUUUCCUCGUUGAAAGACUUUCAAUCAACAUUCGAGGGAACUCGGCAUUGGAAUAUUUUUGUGAAUAUUCACUGACCACUCUACGGACCGAGCGUGGGUUCAUGGCCGUUAAAGUGAUUAUCUCGAAGCAGCAGAUAAAAAACGGAAAAAAACGAGGAUCGAAAUGAACGGUCGCGAUGCACAGAAUCUUGGAAUGGAUUAUAGAUUAGCGUCUGAUGAACUGAUUGAUGGCUUUUCAUUUUGCAUCGUAAUCUCCUAGAAUCUUCCAAGAUUUACCACUCCCACGCUGUUUACGGAAUGGAAAAAUGACCUUCAGGAGGACUCGCGGAUCAACGGAGCACCAGUUUCAUUAUUUUUCAUCUCGCUGCUCACCGCAGCUCUCGAUUAAGAGUCUCGAGAAAUUCGAGUCGAGAUAUCUCACGACACCAUGGUUGACCACCCCUGCGGGUCAAUCGUGUCAAUUGUGAUGAAUGUUGGAGUCACGCAUCCGCGCUCAUCUGACUCCUCGUCGCUGGGAUGCUUGGCCAGAUACACGAGAAGAAUAAUCCCAAUUUCGCUUCGUCAUUGCGCCUCUGUUACAACAAUUGAUACGUGCAUAGUCCUCGCUUUUCGUUCCUUCGAAGCAACUGUUUCUCUUGAAAUUUUAUGGAAGAUUCGCUUCUGCUGCACCAAAACGAUGAUUGAGAAUGCAUUUCGUUGAUUACAGCUCCAACGAUGAUUGUUCGCCGAGAAAAUGUUUCGCCCACGCAUUUAGAGGCUCGUAGGGUUAAAAAUACUCGGAGCUGUGACAGAAAAAGUCUGGAAAGCCGAGAGACAAUUCUCACACGCACCAUUUUAUUUUGGCUCACAUAAACGGGAAGAGCUAGUCAAAGUGGCGACUGACGAUGCACAAAGAGAUUGAAAAAACGUCCUGCUUGCUUCCACCGCGGAGAUAGGCCGAAGCAGCGAAAGAUAAACACGUGCGGCGACUAUAAUUUUUAGUAAAAUAACCAUUUCCAUUAUUUUUCGACCUCGUUCCCCAACCGUUGGAAAGGCUUUCUCUCCAAAACGUAUAUUGGAAAUAAACUUCGUCACAUAACUCUCGGGAAACGGCUUGAAUCCAUCCUUCCGUCAGACUCGCUCUCCAACUAAUUAUUCAAAUUGACAAUUAUUAUUCAUUUCAAGAAAGCUGCUCUGACGCUCGAAUCAAAAGUAUUUUUCAACGUUGGAAAGUGCAUCGGAGAGAAAAAAAAAACAUCCGUAAUCUGAUCAGGAGGGAACGACAAUUUAUUCCGAGGCUCCACUCGAUUUCUUCUUCGCGCUCACAAUCAUUUUUAUUCAUUACUGAUUUACAUUGACCAGAAUUUUCUCGUAGCUCGUCGAUCUGGGAAGAGAAAUGAAGAGAAAAAUGGGCGAAAUCUCCUUGGGAUAAAACGACAUUUGAAUUCGAAAUUGAAAUCAAAAUUUUAUUCAAAUUUGCCUUUACUGACACUUUUUCUUUUGUUCAGGCAACGAAACUGUGCAUCCUGCAACAAAGGUUUUCUAUCCUGAAGCAAACUUCUUCGUCGAUUGAAGACUUGAACAAAGAAUUUCAAGAUUUUAGGAAAAUAUUUCAAAGUUUCAUUGGAAUAUUCUCAUCCAUGCGGUUGCUUUACGUUGAGAGAAUUGAUAAGACGUCGACGUUCAAAGAUACCGAGGAAAGGAUCUGAGCGCUGGGCGCCUACUCGACGUGAAAGGUGUACGUGAAUUUUCGAAGAGUCUGCUCGAUUUAUUUUGCGUGGUGAAAGUCACGUACGAUAUUUUGUGGAGUCAAAAUUUUCGGUCAACGAUCUGAAGCAUUUGGGGGAACAUCGUCUGGUGAGCGAGCUCUCUCCGAUGGUUAACGAUCCCAGGAAAACCGAAAAUCCCGCACCCUCGUAUACAGUUGCCAGACCUUUUCGUUUACACGCCGGGAAAACUCGGCUCUUGGGUGAUCACUCAUGAAGGGUCGCCUCGACAGCUGCUUUCCAGACGUUUCUUUCUAGUUUACUCAAGUUUUUAUUGUCACUCGCCUCUUCCUACGAGAGCUACGUGCGAUGUAUCGCGUCUCAAAAGCCUCGCGUUUAACACUUUGCCAGAUUAUUUUUCUAAUUUUAUCAAAGAGUAUUUCAACCUGAAAAUAAUGAGGAAGAGCCACGUCAUUAUCGAAAAUAUCGACAGAGUUAAGGUCUCAUGAUAAUUUCAUCACCCAUUUAGGAUCUGCAACCAAAAACAUUUUGUUGAAAUGUCGAAAAAACUUUUGCAGCCACGAGUUCUAUGAGUUUGAAGUUUCGUUACAUUUCUAUUGUUCCCAAGCAAAGUGUCAACUUCGAGGAGCAUUUCGUCGAUAAAAUGAAACUAUUUUUGUUAAUAUUUUUCGAUAAAUCUUUGCACGAUCGUUUUAUUUUUUUAAUUCAUGUCAAUUAACAUUAAAAUUUAACCUCAUCGAUAACGGCACCGAUGAAAAGAGGGAUUCAGAAGCAAAUUUUGAAUAUUUCUUGACAGCUCAAUUGAGCUACCCUGUAAUAAAAUGUGGUCUAAUUACCAGUCGACUGUCUUGAUCAAUGUCACUGAAUUUUCGAUGUGACAAAUUUCAAAUGUUCACAAAGAAGUUUAGUCGAUGGGAAAUUCGUGAAAAAAUUCACUAGAUAAUUUUUCGGUUGAAUGCUAAAAUUAAUCGGCUCGCUCCCUCGAAAUGUUCGGAAGUGAAUAAAUCGUGUUGGAAAUUGAUUCGAAACGCCCGUCCGAGAUUGGGCCUCGUGGGCACGGAUCGCGAACCGCUGAAUCACGUGGAACGGGGAAAAAAAUUGCAGCUGUCAGAGUGAGCGUGGUGUAUACGCUCGUGCAAGUGCAUUUAUAUACGUGUAAUUAUUAUGGUCAACAUGAAAGACUCGGUUCGUCGCCACGCUUCCACUUAAAUCUGGGAAAAACGGAACGAGGACGUAAUUAAAUCGGCUUCGGAGUGCGAGAGCGAGCGAUCGACGAAUGAGCUUCGACAAGGAGUGGGGCCGAUAAUUACUUCUGCGAUGAGUACAUUAGUUUGUAAAAGUCGUUAAUUGACUGGAGUGAAGGGAAACAACUUACCACUGCUACUUCAACAUUAGUGCUAAUCGGAAAAAAAUUGUUACGCGUUAUCGCUUCUAUUGUAAUUGACGAAUGUGCACCGCUGACUGUUCCCC